rnacentral:lncRNA from 1 species
UCCUGCUCGGUCAUGUGAGGACCAAGAGAGGUGGUGUUGAUGUUGCAGCCUCUAUCUUGAGACUUAAGUGAGGUGAAUGUUCAUGGUUUGCCUUGGUCUGUCGAGUGUCGACGAUGGUUUGUUCGAUGACGUGUUCCUAGUUCCUGCUCAGUGUUAGACGUUUGUGCCGAGGCUUUAGCUAGUACCGUGUGUCGUUUGCUUGUAGCUUUUCCCCUGCUUACAAUCCAUCUUAUGAUAUGAAUUAGCAGGAGCUAGAAUUUGCCGCUGAAAGCUUGA